GGGGCAGCAACCCAACAACAGGUUGUCCGAUUCAUCUGAAAAUUUCAGGGCAGAUAGAUCUUGACCCUAUAAACAAUUUUACCCCCAUGUCAGAUUUGCUCUAAAUGCUUUAGUUUUUGAGUUAUAAGCCAAAAACUGCAUUUUACCCCUAUGUUCUAUUUUUAGCCGUGGUGGCCAUCUUGGUUAGUUGGCCGGGUCACCGGACACAUUUUUUAAACUAGAUACCCCAAUGAUGAUUGUGGCCAAGUUUGGUUUAAUUUGGCCCAGUAGUUUCAGAGGAGAAGAUUUUUCUAAAAGAUAACUAAGAUUUACGAAAAAUGGUUAAAAAUUGACUAUAAAGGGCAAUAACUCCUAAAGGGGUCAACUGACCAUUUGGGUCAGGUUGACUUAUUUGUAAAUCUUACUUUGCUGAACAUUAUUGCUGUUUACAGUUUAUCUCUAUCUAUAAUAAUAUUCAAGAUAAUAACCAAAAACAGUAAAAUUUCCUUAAAAUUACCAAUUCAGGGGCAGCAACCCAACAACGGGUUGUCCGAUUCAUCUGAAAAUUUCAGGGCAGAUAGAUCUUGACCUGAUGAACAAUUUUACCCCAUGUCAGAUUUGCUCUAAAUGCUUUGGUUUUUGAGUUAUAAGCCAAAAAACUGCAUUUUACCCCUAUGUUCUAUUUUUAGCCAUGGCGGCCAUCUUGGUUGGUUGACCGGGUCACCAGACACAUUUUUUAAACUAGAUACCC
rnacentral:lncRNA from 1 species